rnacentral:lncRNA from 1 species
GGCCAGGACCAGAUGUAGGAAGAGAUCAGGCAGUUCCAAUUGGGAGGGGACAUGAUGUUCCUGCCUUAUUACGGCAGCGGAGAGAAGGAGUGGGCGUGGAGCUAGAUGUUGUAGAUGCCCCUGACCUUACCACAUUUCAGGGGUUGGUUGCUCAGCAGAUCAGCAAGAUGAACGCGCAAGCUUCGCCUGGGUUUGACUGUGUGGCUGCCCCUUUCAUAAAGCAUGCCGUGGUAGAGCGCCCACGACUAGGUAGGCGAGGGUAUGAUAGGGUCAAUGUUCUCCAGCCUUACAUUGCGCAGCUGUUCAAGCUCCUGUAUGAGAAAGCCCGCAUUCCUGCUGAUUGGAAGAAAGCUAAGAUGGCGCCGCUAUACAAGGAGGGUGCUUUCUUGGACCCGAACAAUUAUCGCAUGCUUGCAGUCAGUGGCACGUUUUAUCGUAUGUAUGCGAAUGUGCUCGGGUCGUUGAUUACUGAUUGGUGCAUGAGUAGGGGCAAAAUACCAGACACUCAGUUUGGGU